UUGCCGAAAAUUUUGCAAGUUAUUGAUGAACAAUUGGGCGCGACCGCAACCUAAGGAGUUUUGCUCAUUUGUGUGUAUCAUAACCCGCCAGCUACGCAGGUGCACAUGAGCCUGAAGACGCUGGUUUCUGCGAAGAUACAGACAGAGUGCUGUGCUGGAUUGCAUGAAGCACCAGUAGCAGCUGCAGUCAAUGUUACUCUGGUGCCACUGCUCCCUGCAGAUUUCAGGCCUCUUCGUGGCUCAACACCUGUCCCAUUGGAUGAAUCAUCCUCUGCUGAUGAAGACAUGCCAGCGGCUGAAGUUGACGCCACCUAUUUACCAUCAUUCAGCGAGAGUUUCUGCAGGUUUCGAGUUAUUUGCCGGGUUCUCUCUGCUUGAGGUCGCAAUGAUGGCCAGGAAUUCUCCUGGUCAGGAUCGUUCCCGAAGGCGAUUCAGGAACAGCUCCAUGCAGUGACUCCAGGCUACCAAAGUAUUACCGACGUGCGGCAGUUUGGUCGUGGUCGAAUUGUGUGCCGAUCGCCAGACCAGGAAUGUGUCAAAGACCUUCUAAAACUCAAUGCUGCGCAGUCAACACGCCCGACGCUCUACGCGACUACGUGUGAGGAGCGCAAUGAGUGCACGCCGGUAUCUUCGCGUCUUCCGGGGCGGACCACUGGUGCAAGCAGCCGUUCUCCUUCGCAACCCUGGACACAGCCACUGGGGAGCAGAUCGCCCUUCAACGAGACGCCUACAGGAGCCACAGCUGGUUGCACGUGUGUAUCUUGCGGUUCGGCUUCGUGCUGACGGUGGGAGUCCCGACAUGACGGCCAUCGCCUGCGGCUUCGUUCAAGCGACCACAGCGACACCAUCGAACAACGAGCUGGGUGGUCUCACGUGUGAACGCGGUGAGAGGAUUGUGGCGGCGAAGAUCGGCGAGUAAUGCUCUCCAUCACACCUUCGGGGUCCUCGCUGAAGCUGGCGAAGAGUUGUUUCGAUGGCGUGGGGGGCCAUUCUGCGGUGCUGCUUACGCCUGUUGGGGAAAGAGUGAAAUGUGGGCUCGUCCUCUCCGCCGCCCCCCAAGUCGCACUGGAUUGGGGUGUUGGUGCUGCCGACAGGCAGCAUCAACACUAUGAGAUUUUUUUUUUACUUUUCGCGCGUGCAUGAGCAUUUUAUGAUGGAAUUUUUGUUUCAUCCGACAAGUCUAAAAUCACGUUUCAUGGAACUAAUAAAAAGGGUUAUUUCAUGCGAAGCUGGUGUUGUGAUCUUAAAAAAAGAGCUUCCCUGUAAGUUUACACAGCUCACAUUUAUGCAUGAUGAAAUGCGUAUCGAUUACACGGCAGUUCGCCGUGUUAACGAAAUAACCUAAUUUUGGGGUUCCCCAUUGUAUGUUCACGCCACUGGUUAUACGCGAACUGUUCCA